rnacentral:rRNA from 1 species
AGAAUCAACGCUGGCGGCGUGCCUAACACAUGCAAGUCGCACGAGAAAGGGGAGCAAUCCCUGAGUACAGUGGCGCACGGGUGAGUAACACGUGAAUAAUCUACCUCCGAGUGGGGAAUAACUGAGAGAAAUCUUAGCUAAUACCGCAUAACACUUACGAGUCAAAGCAGCAAUGCGCUUGGAGAGGAGUUCGCGGCAGAUUAGUUAGUUGGCGGGGUAAUGGCCCACCAAGACGAUGAUCUGUAUCCGGCCUGAGAGGGCGCACGGACACACUGGAACUGAAACACGGUCCAGACUCCUACGGGAGGCAGCAGUGGGGAAUUUUGCGCAAUGGGGAAACCCUGACGCAGCAACGCCGCGUGGAGGAUGAAGCCCCUUGGGUGUAAACUCCUUCGAUCGGGAAGAUAAUGACGGUACCGAUAUAAGAAGCCCCGGCUAACUUCGUGCCAGCAGCCGC